GAUGAACGCUGGCGGCGUGCCUAAUACAUGCAAGUCGAGCGAACAGACGAGGAGCUUGCUCCUCUGACGUUAGCGGCGGACGGGUGAGUAACACGUGGCUAACCUACCUAUAAGACUGGGAUAACUUCGGGAAACCGGCGCUAAUACCGGAUAAUAUAUUGAACCGCAUGGUUCAAUAGUGAAAGACGGUUUUGCUGUCACUUAUAGAUGGAUCCGCGCCGCAUUAGCUAGUUGGUAAGGUAACGGCUUACCAAGGCAACGAUGCGUAGCCGACCUGAGAGGGUGAUCGACCACACUGGAACUGAGACACGGUCCAGACUCCUACGGGAGGCAGCAGUAGGGAAUCUUCCGCAAUGGGCGAAAGCCUGACGGAGCAACGCCGCGUGAGUGAUGAAGGUCUUCGGAUCGUAAAACUCUGUUAGUAGGGAAGAACAAAUGUGUAAGUAACUAUGCACGUCUUGACGGUACCUAAUCAGAAAGCCACGGCUAACUACGUG
rnacentral:rRNA from 1 species